ACUCCCCUGCUCGACGUCCUCCAUUCCCGCGGGCACGGCCGCGUUCGUUGGCGGCCCAGGUCGCGGCACCGUCGUAGCUGCUCGUCGUCCUGCUCCUCGAUGUCGUCCUGCUCGUGGCUCUCCAUCCCCGCCGGCACCCACCAUGUUUUCCGGCGGCCAAGCUCGCGGCGCCACACCAUCUACCCUUGUCAUGCCGCUGCCCAUGGCAAUGCUCCUCGGCCACAUUCGCAGCGCUGCCGGCUUAUUGUACAGGCUUCAUACGCCCCUUGGCUCCGGCCAACCGUUUCGACGCUGCUGUGUCACCCUGGUCGCUUCUCGGCAAACAACAUCAACUAACAAGUUCCUGUAGAUUUUUGUGUGUGAUUUGAGCUGUAAAAGCCUGAACAAAGGCAACUAUUCUGUAUUUUCCUUUCUGAAUUUUAUUCUCUUACAAGACUGGCCUAUGUUGUAAACGAAUUUCUGUGUGAAUGAAAGCUUGUGGAAUUUGCAAUGUAUAGUUGUUCUUGUCCACUUUUCAUAUAAUGUGUUGCGACAUUUUCAGUGUAUUUGUGCUGUUGAACAUACUGAUCACUUGUUUCCUUCCAAUAACUGGAAAGGGACCAAGUAUAUGCACCCUUGUGUGUGUUGUACAACUGAUCAGUUCACAGAGACAAAAGAAACUUUGUAGAAACCAUUGUCAGGUGAAACACUAGCAUAUAACAACAGAAGAAAAUGAUAGCUUCAGUUUGUGUUGCAGCAAGUAAAUAGAACCAUUUGGCAUGAAUAAAACAAGAUUUGCAAUGCAUUUGCCCUGAUAAUCUGAUACGGUGUCAACUGUUGGCAUGAACAAACAUUCAUGGUUUGCUACAGAGGAAAAUGAUAGCUUCAGUUUUAUAUUGCAGUAAGUAAAUAGCACCAUUUGCCAGGUGAAAUACACACAUAGCAGCAGAAGAAAAUGAUAGCUUCAGGUGAAACACUAGCACAUAGCAGUAGAAGAAAAUGAUAGCUUCAGUUUAAUAGAAGAAAAUGAUAGAAUAUAUGUUUUUUGUCUCAUGCUGCUCAAUGGGUUUCACCUCUAGCCUAUCCCAACUUGUUUGGGACUAAAGGCUUUGUUGUUGUUGUUGUUGUUCUGCUCAACGGGUUCUAAUCCAGACAACUUCGUUUUGAUAGGUUUACUCUAUCCGGAGAAAUGAUGUCAUAUUACCGUUUUCAAUUGUGGGGCAUGCUUGUGAGAGGUUCUGUAUCAAGGGAACUGCACAUCCUCUACUCUCAUCUCUUGAGUCGGUCAAAGGACCUUGCAAUGGGAGUCUGCAAUGGCGGCGAAAGGUAUAAUUUUGACAAAAUUAUCUCUUCAAUCUUGGAAAAAUUGGUUAUGUAGCACCCAAAUAGGUCGCCUUUAGAAAGCUAGCACCAAAAUGUCUUGGUACACUUAAAUAACACUACAAAGGUUACACAUUUUAGUUGUUUAGCAUGGUGUCAUAUUCUCCAUCCAAGGCAGUUAUUUAGGACCAAUGUAUCCUUGUUUUAAUCAUACAGCUAGUAUAGAGGCACCACUCUUUCAAGCUUUGGAUGUUUCUUGGCUAACUGUGAUCCACAUUGAGUAAUUGUUCUUGUAUCCUAUCCUGUAGUUUUUUUGCACCAACAGUUGGAUCUUUCCUGAAGAUAUCCUCCCCCUUCGAAGCUUCCUUUCCUGUUACUUUACCAGUACUAGCACAAGUAUGCUCCAAUUAUGAAAUCACAAUUACCUUUUUUUCAAAAGGGGACAAAUCACAAUCACUUGCAUGAAAACCAAGCUAUAAGAUUGUGUGCUGAUAUGUGCUGAAAAUUUUCCCAAUUUUCCCUUUAAAUUUGUAGCCAUCACUUUCCCUUCAAAUUAGUAGCCACCUUAUUUUCCUUAUGAUUCCUUGAUUUUAAUAUCAUAGUACUAAUUAAUAAAUACUGUAAACAGGCUGAGGGUGAAGUUAACAGAAAUUGCCCGGAAGUAUAUGCUGGAACUUGUAACAAGUUUGAAAAUAAAGUUGACAGAAUGCAACAGGAAUUUAAUCCAGCAGCUCGAGUUAAAAUUUCUUGAAAUGCCCAAAAAGUAAUGUUCUCAAUCCCUUCCCUUUUAUAUCAUUAUUUAUUUAUGCAACUCAGUUCUAUUUUAGUGCUUAAUUAGAGACUACUGUAUAUAUGUUUUCAGGCAUGAAGAGCUAGAGGAUUGUUUUGGCGCUGCUUAGUGUGCAUGGUCAUGUUGAGGAGAAAAUCAUGACACCUUUGCCUGAUAAAUGCGCCUUGGUUCAGGCACUUGUCGAACAUGUGAUUAGCAACCAUAAAGCUGGGUACUCGUGGGAAGGUGAUUUUGGCUUAAAUGAUAUGGAUGCCUACGAUGGCAAGGUGGUCAUCACAAAAAGUCCGAAGUUAUUUGAUAUACAGCCUAAAAUAUCGCCCGAGAUGGUCACUGCAAUGGAGAAGGAUUUUAAAAGUAUUGCAACAGAAGUGGUGCAAAAAUUCAUGCAAUCUCAGAUUUACGUUCCUUAUUUGUCACCUUUUCAUGCUUUCUUGAGUAGCAUGGGACUAUAUGCUACCUGGUGGUCGGACCGACUCAAGACAAAGAAUUUGCGAGAAUUGAUACUCCAUUAUCCCUUUCUCAAGCCUUCAAGGGCUCGUUUGAAUUUGCUGGUAGGCAUCUUUGAUGCAUGGAGAUCGUUCGAUAAGAAUGAUACAAGUCCUUUACUUAAGAAGAUCAUCAGCUCUGUCGAAGGAUCUUUCUGGUUAUGGAAGAUGAAUGCGGUUGAAAAUCAAAUCAUUAUUGAUGUUUUCCGGUACAAAGGUGCUGCAUAUUAUGAAGACGGGCUACAGUACGUGAUUGAAUUAUUGAGGCAUCUUGCAGUACAUGGCACUGAGAAAUCCUUUGACUGCCAUGUUGAUGGCCCCCGCAAGCAACUGGUACAAAAUCUCGAUGAACUGGAGGUCGGAGGUGCUUAUUAUCUCGAAGAGUUUGUGAUGCUUGCCUUAUCUCGAGUGUUCAUCAGAACGUUCGAAGGAACUUGCAAGCGACCAGCUGGAUUGACAGAGUUGCAAGUCUGCGUGCAGAAGGCUAAUGAGACUCUCAGAGAGUAUAUUCAGAGGUGGAUCACUUUGCACCACACUGUGGAGAAUGUGUCUGAUCAUCAGGCAGUCUGCGCCUUCAAAGAUGGCGUCAAGAACAGAGAACUGAGUUUGAAGUUUGGUCGAACCGGUGACAUGACCUUGAGUCGGAUGAUGGAGAUUGCUACCAAGUACGCCAACGGCGAAGAAGAAGACCGACUCCGAAGCGGCAAGCACAAGCCGAGUCAGUCGGAAAAAGGAAACACCAGUCGGAAACAGAAGCGGAAGGCUGAACCGGCAGCUCCUGGAGAGGCUCUGGCCGUGACUCAAGGAAAGUUUAAGGGGAAACCAAAAGGAUCCUGGAACCCCAAGAAGGUAAAGGAUAAAGAAGGGAACAACGUAAUGGAUAUGCCAUGUCACAUCCAUACGAAGAAAGACGAAGAGGGGAAUAUCAUCUUCCCGAAGCACACCACUCGCCAAUGUCGACUCCUGAUCCAGCAGUUUCAGGGAAAACAGUCUAAGGACAAGGAGAAGGAGUCAGACAAGGCCGAAGACAAGGAGGACAGUGAGGAAGGAUAUCCACAUAUCAACUCCACUCUGAUGAUCUUUGCAGAUGUGGAAAGCAGGAGUCGACUGAAAGUCAUUAACCGAGAGGUGAACAUGGUUGCCCCAGCAAAAGCAAAUUAUCUGAAAUGGUCUCAAACACCCAUCACAUUCGACCAAUCUGAUCACCCGACUCAUAUUGCCACCCCUGGGAGGCAAGCUUUGGUGGUCGAUCCAGUUGUCGAAGGCACUCGACUGACAAAGGUGCUGAUGGAUGGUGGAAGCGGGCUGAAUUUGUUGUAUGCAGACACACUGAAAGGAAUGGGCAUUCCGAUGUCCCGACUGAGCACUAGUAACAUGCGUUUUCAUGGAGUUAUACCAGGGAAGAAGGCCGAGUCACUCGGCCAAAUAGCUUUGGAUGUGGUGUUUGGUGAUUCGAAGCAUUUUCGCAAAGAAAAGUUGACGUUUGAGGUCGUGGAUUUUCAGAGUGCAUAUCAUGCCAUUUUGGGGAGACCAGCUUACGCACGGUUCAUGGCUCGACCAUGCUACGUGUACCUCAAAUUGAAGAUGCCCGGCCCCAAAGGAGUGAUCACUGUCACCGGUGAUCGGAAAAAGGCAGAAGAGUGCUUUCAGAAGAGCUCCAAGAUUGCCGAUUCCCAGGUGACAGCGGUCGAGUUCGAAGAAUACAAGCAAAACGCAGAUCCGAGUACUUGCUGCGAUCAAAGAAACCCGCCACAGAGUCUGCAUUCCAGUCGUCCGGUGAGACGAAGCCUGUUCACAUUCACCCGACCGACCCCGAUGCAGCUCCGACCCGCAUCUCCACAACACUCGACCCAAAAUAGGAAGAAGCGCUCAUCCAGUUCCUCCGUGAGAACUGGGACAUUUUUGCAUGGAAGCCCGCUGACAUGCCAGGUGUUCCCAGGGGACUGGCUGAGCAUCGCCUAAGAGUCGACUCAUCUGCAAAACCAGUCAAAGAGCAUCUUCGGCGGUCCGCCGUCCAGAAGAGAAAGGCCAUUGGUGAAGAAGUGGCUCGACUGUUGGCGGCAGGAUUUAUCCGAGAGAUAUACCACUCCGAGUGGCUCGCUAAUGUCGUCAUGGUUCCUAAGAAGGACAAGUCGCUCCGAAUGUGCAUUGAUUUCAAGCACAUCAACCGGGCCUGCCCGAAAGAUCAUUUUCCUCUCCCUCGCAUAGAUCAAAUUGUUGACUCGACCGCGGGAUGCGAGAGGCUAUCUUUUUUAGAUGCCUACUCCGGGUACCACCAGAUCCGUCUGUACGGACCCGACGAGGUAAAAACAGCUUUCAUCACUCCAUUCGGGUGCUUCUGCUAUAUCACCAUGCCAUUCGGCCUCAAGAAUGCCGGAGCCACAUUUAGGCGAAUGAUUCAGAAGUGUCUACUCACUCAAAUCAGUCGGAAUGUGGAAGCAUAUAUGGAUGAUAUCGUUGUCAAGUCACGAAAAGGUUCCGACCUGCUCGCUGACCUCGCCGAAACAUUUGCCAACCUCAGAAGGUAUGAUAUCAAGCUCAAUCCAUCAAAGUGCACAUUUGGAGUUCCUGGUGGCAAGUUACUCGGUUUUCUCGUUUCCGAACGGGGAAUCGACGCUAACCCAGAGAAGAUUGGCACUAUUCUCCGAAUGAAACACCCUGUGCGAGUGCACGAUGUCCAGAAGCUUACUGGAUGCUUGGCCGCAUUAAGUCGAUUCAUCUCACGACUCGGUGAAAAGGCAUUGCCUCUUUACCGACUGAUGAAGAAGAAAGACAAGUUCGAGUGGACUCCAGAAGCUGAUGCAGCGUUUGCCGAGCUAAAAGCUCUGCUCUCCACCCAGCCGGUGCUUGCUGCUCCAAUCAGCAAAGAGCCUCUGUUGCUCUAUAUCGCAGCCACAUGACAAGUCGUCAGUACUGUGCUUACGGUCGAGCGGGAAGAAGAAGGAAAAGCUCUCAAAGUUCAGCGCCCAGUGUAUUAUUUGUCUGAAGUCUUGACCCCAUCCAAGCAGAGAUAUCCUCAUUAUCAGAAGCUUGUGUAUGGAAUAUACAUGACCACAAAGAAGGUUGCUCAUUAUUUUUCUGAUCAUUCCAUUACAGUCGUCAGCGACGCUCCACUAUCAGAGAUUUUGCACAACAGAGAUGCAACUAGUCGAGUGGCCAAAUGGGCGAUUGAACUUCUUCCCCUUGAUAUCAAGUUUGAGGCAAAGAAAGCCAUUAAGUCCCAGGCAAUAGCAGAUUUCCUCGCCGAGUGGAUUGAACAGCAGCAGCUGACUGAAGUUCACUCGGAGCAUUGGACCAUGUUCUUUGAUGGCUCUAAGAUGUUGAAUGGUUCCGGUGCUGGGGUUGUCCUGGUUUCCCCCAGAGGAGAUAAGCUCAGAUAUGUGCUCCAGAUUCACUUUGAUUCGUCCAACAAUGAGGCAGAAUAUGAGGCCCUCUUAUAUGGGUUGCGCAUGGCCAUUUCACUCGGCGUCCGUCGCCUGAUGGUCUAUGGCGACUCGGAUUUAGUGGUCAACCAGGUGAUGAAAGAGUGGGACGUGAGAAGCCCAGCUAUGACUGGAUACUACAGUGCAGUGAGGAAGUUGGAAAAGAAGUUCGAGGGGUUGGAGCUCCAUCAUAUACCCCGACUGAAAAAUCAAGCAGCUGAUGAUCUAGCAAAGAUAGGUUCCAAGAGAGAAGCCAUUCCGAGUGGUGUGUUCUUGGAGCAUAUACACACUCCGUCAGUCAAAGAAGAUCCUUUCACCGAAGAAACUCCACAGCCCAAGAGUGCCACAGAUCCGACUGAAGUUGAAGUCCCAGCAGUGGUCGACUUGAUCAUGGAGGUUUUGGUGGUCAUUCCCGACUGGACGGUUCCGUAUGUCGCAUAUAUCCUGAGAAAAGAGCUUCCGGAGGAUGAGGAAGAGGCUCGACAGAUCGUCCGUCGAUCUAAGGCCUUUACCGUAAUCAAAGGACAAUUAUACAGAGAAAGCGCGACUGGAGUUGGUCAGAAAUGCAUAACACCAGAAGAAGGUCGACUCGUCCUCAAUGAUAUUCACUCGGGGACCUGUGGUCAUCAUGCGUCCUCUCGGACCAUCGUGGCCAAAGCAUACCGAGCCGGAUUUUACUGGCCAAAAGCGAAUGAGAUGGCAAAAGAUAUAGUGGAUAAGUGCGAGGGAUGUCAGUUCUACUCGAAUAUGUUGCACAAGCCUGCGUCGGUCCUGAAGACCAUCCCACUCGUCUGGCCUUUCGCAGUAUGGGGACUGGACAUGGUCGGUCCUUUGAGAACAGGACGAAGUGGCUUCACGCAUGUACUGGUGGCAGUCGACAAGUUCACCAAGUGGAUCGAGGCUAAACCAAUCAAGAGCCUUGACACCGGUACUGCUGUUAGCUUCAUCAAGGAACUAAUAUUCAGAUAUGGAGUCCCGCACAGCAUCAUUACGGAUAAUGGGUCGAACUUUGACUCAGAGGAAUUCAGAGCUUUCUGCAACUCCCAGGGCACACGGGUCGACUACGCUUCAGUCGCCCAUCCGCAGUCGAAUGGACAAGCAGAGCGAGCUAACGGACUGAUUCUUAAGGGAUUGAAGCCUCGACUGAUGCGUGAUCUCAAACACGCGGCUGGAGCUUGGGUCGACGAACUUCCCUCAGUGCUCUGGGGGCUGCGGACCACACCUAAUCGGUCGACCGGAAGAACUCCAUUCUUCUUGGUCUACGGAGCUGAAGCAGUCUUGCCGAGUGAUCUUCUCCACAAUGCUCCUCGAGUUGAAAUCUACAACGAAGUAGAGGCUGAACAAGCGCGGCAGGACGCAGUCGACCUUUUAGAGUAAGAAAGGGAGAUGGCUCUGAUCCGUUCGACCAUCUACCAACAAGAUUUGCAUCGUUUCUACGCCAGAAACGUGAGAGGUCGAGCCUUCCAGGAAGGGGAUUUAGUUCUCCGAGUGGAUCAGCACAAACCACACAAGCUUGCUCCUUCUUGGGAAGGCCCCUUCAUCGUCACCAAGGUCCUCCACAACGGAGCGUACCGUCUUUACAACGUCGAGCAUAAUAUCGACGAGCCCCGAGCUUGGAACGCGGAGCUGUUUUAUCACUCGGAUGAGUUGCAAUAAAGUACUUCUGUAGUUCAUGGACCUCAAAAUAAUAGUGUCAUAGUUCCUCCAUAAUUUCUGUCACUUUUUAUUUUUGUCCAAUAAAAUUCCCACCCAGUGGGUGACUUAGCUGCGAAUCCGUUUCGUCUAAGUUUGUAAAAAUCCUACCGAGUGGUGAGCCAGACUCCCACUCGGAGGCUUAGCCGCGAAUCCGUUUCGCCUAAGUUAUCAAAAUCCUACCGAGUGAAGAGCGAACCUCUCACUCGGGGGCUUAGCUGCAGUCCAAGCACUCGCCUAAGUUAUCAAAAUCCUACCGAGUAGUAAGCCAGACUUCCACUCGGGGGCUUAGCUGCAGCCCUGUGCUCGCCUAAGUUGUAAAAAUCCUACCGAGUGAAGAGCAACCCUCUCACUCGGGGGCUUAGCUGCAGCCCUGUGCUCGCCUAAGUUAUCUAAAUCCUACCGAGUGAAGAGCAACCCUCUCACUCGGGGGCUUAGUUGCAGUCCAAGCACUCGCCUAAGUUAUAAAAAUCCUACCGAGUGAAGAGCAACCCUCUCACUCGGAGGCUUAGCUGCAGCCCUGUGCUUGCCUAAGUUGUAAAAAUCCUACCGAGUGAAGAGCAACCCUCUCACNNNNNNNNNNCCUCGAGUUGAAAUCUACAACGAAGCAGAGGCUGAACAAGCGCGGCAGGACGCAGUCGACCUUUUAGAGGAAGAAAGGGAGAUGGCUCUGAUCCGGUCGACCAUCUACCAACAAGAUUUGCGUCGUUUCCACGCCAGAAAUGUGAGAGGUCGAGCCUUCCAGGAAGGGGAUUUAGUUCUCCGAGUGGAUCAGCACAAACCACACAAGCUUGCUCCUUCUUGGGAAGGCCCCUUCAUCGUCACCAAGGUCCUCCACAACGGGGCGUAUCGUCUUUACAACGUCGAGCAUAAUAUCGACGAGCCCCGAGCUUGGAACGCGGAGCUACUCCGCCCAUUUUACACUUAAGUUUUAUCACUCGGAUGAGUUGCAAUAAAGUACUUCUGUAGCUCAUGGACCUCAAAAUAAUAGUGUCAUAGUUCCUCCAUAAUUUCUGUCACUUUUUAUUUUCGUCCACAUAAAAUUCCCCCUCAGUGGGUGACUUAGCCGCGAAUCUGUUUCGCCUAAGUUUGUAAAAAUCCUACCGAGUGGUGAGCCAGACUCUCACUCGGAGGCUUAGCUGCGAAUCCGUUUCGCCUAAGUUAUCAAAAUCCUACCGAGUGGUAAGCCAGACUUCAACUCGGAGGCUUAGCUGCAGCCCUGUGCUCGCCUAAGUUAUAAAAAUCCUACCGAGUGGUAAGCCAGACUUCCACUCGGAGGCUUAGCUGCAGCCCUGUGCUCGCCUAAGUUAUAAAAAUCCUACCGAGUGGAGAGCAACCCUCUCACUCGGGGGCUUAGCUGCAGCCCUGUGCUCGCCUAAGUUGUAAAAAUCCUACCGAGUGAAGAGCAACCCUCUCACUCGGGGGCUUAGCUGCAGUCCAAGCACUCGCCUAAGUUAUAAAAAUCCUACCGAGUGAAGAGCAACCCUCUCACUCAGGGGCUUAGCUGCAGUCCAAGCACUCGCCNNNNNNNNNNUAAGUUGUAAAAAUCCUACCGAGUGAAGAGCAACCCUCUCACUCGGGGGCUUAGCUGCAGCCCUGUGCUCGCCUAAGUUGUAAAAAUCCUACCGAGUGAAGAGCAACCCUCUCACUCGGGGGCUUAGCUGCAGUCCAAGCACUCGCCUAAGUUAUAAAAAUCCUACCGAGUGAAGAGCAACCCUCUCACUCGGAGGCUUAGCUGCAGCCCUGUGCUUGCAUAAGUUACAAAAAUCCUACCGAGUGAAGAGCGACCCUCUCACUCGGAGGCUUAGCUGCAGCCCGGUGCUCGCCUAAGUUAUAGAAAUCCUACCGAGUGGUAAGCCGGGCUUCCACUCGGAGGCUUAGCCGCAGCCCAGUGCUCACCUAAGUGGACUAAAGAAUAAGUCGAUUGCGGUAAAGGCGCCUUGCUUUGAACCUGCAAAAUACAUUUCGAUCCAAAGGCAAUCAUGUUCAAGCACCAAAUUCAAGUUUGAAUCGAUAUCUGAAGGAACCGAAAGUGCUCAGGCAUUAAGCCUGUUAAGGUUUAUCGGCUACAAUUCCACUCGGCAUACCGAGGCAAAUUUAAAAGCGUCGAGCCAGAAGAAGUGUUUUACCCCUCCUGUGGAGGGCUGGAAGGUGCAACGAAUUCAUCAAGGUCAAUUCCGUCGGUGAUCCGAGUGGCAGCUGCAAGGAAGGUUUCCAUAAAGGACCUGAAGUCGUGCUUCUUGGUAUUGGCCACCCGAAGGGCCGCCAGCUUCUCUUCUCGCGCAUCUUUACAAUGGACUCGGGCCAGACAUAGAGCAACAUCUGCACCACACCGAGCCGAGGACUUCUUCCAUUCCUGCACUCGACCAGGGAUCGAGUUCAAGCGGGCCAUCAGCGACUCAAGGUCAUUCUGAAGUGUCUCCUCAGGCCAGAGCAUCGAGUCGAUGCGAGAUGUGGCGGCCUUCAGCCUUGCGAGAUAGUCCACGACAGCUGCAACACGAGACUCCAGUCGGAAAACAUCCAUGGCAACUUCGUCGUUCACCGGAGAAUUGACGGGGUCGAGGUUUGGCUCCAGCCGGCUAGUUUCUUCUUCAAAGUUUUGACAAAAUUCUGCAAGGUUGAUCACUAAGUCAAGGGGAUGGUCGAAUGGAAAAAACCACAAUUGGAAAUGUUUGCCAAGCAUAGAGGUUUACCUUAAAGCAUAAGAAACAGCUUCUUAGCAAGGCCACUCAGGAAGGCCUCCAGAUCAGUUUUCUUCCCAGUCAAUUUGCUGACUUGGUCGGUCAGGGCAGCUUUAUCGGUUUUCAGUCGACUGACCUCCUUGUUGGCAAUCCCAAGAGCAGCUUUCAGAUUGGUAUUGUCUUGUUCAAGCUUGGUGACUGAAGCUAACUUCUCGUCAGCAAGCUUGAUCUUCUCAGCUAGCUCAAGGUCUUUCUUCUGUUGGGCCUCCCUUACCUUACCUGCAAGUUACAGCAAGAUCAGAUUUUGAAACAAGCAAGGGGAAAAGCAGUCGUCAGGGUCUCACCAAACAUACCUUCGGUAUCCUCCUUUGCCUUCGUCAGCUUCUCCUGAACCAGCUUCAAGCUCAGCUCGAGUUGAGUAUGCUUGUGUUCCAGCUCAGAGUAGCGAGCCACAAGAUCACAAGAGUUCUGCGAAGAACCAAUCGACUAAAUGUCAAAUAUAAUUCACUUCCGAGUGAAAAAGGAAAAAACACACGUUUCUAAGACUACAGCCGAAUACAAGCAGUCGACCGUAGUCUCGGGGACUACACCCAGUGGGUGCACUCAGCGUGCCCCCACUGAUUCUGUUGAAGACAAAGUCGACCAGUCGACCUCAAAAAAAAAGAAGAAGAGCGAGAUGCAUUCUCUAAGACUGUGAUCAACUGCAAGCAGUCGACCACAGUCUCGGGGACUACACCCAGUGGGUGCACUCAGCGUGCCCCCACCAGUUUGUGAAAUCCAGUCGACAUAGUCGACUGACAGAAAAAUUGACAUCAUAAAGCCUAAGGCCGACUGCCAGCAGUCGACCUUAGCCUUGGGGACUACACCCAGUGGGUGCACUCAGCGUGCCCCCACCGGUUUGUGAAAUCCAGUCGACAUAGUCGACUGACAGAAAAAUUGACAUCAUAAAGCCUAAGGCCGACUGCCAGCAGUCGACCUUAGCCUUGGGGACUACACCCAGCGGGUGCACUCAGCGUGCCCCCGCUAAUACGGAGUCUAAUCGACAACACCCAGUGGGUGACUACUAUAAAUUCCGGAAAGGAAAAGUUUUUGGCAGCAUAUCCAACAGAACAAACUGUGGUCGACUGACCUGAACAUUGCUCUGGAGGGCAGAACUGGCGUCAUAAGCUGCCUGGCUCGCGUCCCGGAUGGUCUUCAACUGCUCCAUCAUGAUUCCCGCCUGGCGUAUGGCUUCCUUCGCCGCGCCAGCUUGGUCCUCUGGGACGUGGUGCGUCGUGAAGAGGGAGGGCUGCGGAGCACUCGUCAAUGGAUUCGCGAAGGACACUGUGUGUCGAGUGGUGUUCUCUUCCUCCGCAAUCAGAAUCUCAGGCGCCGUCACAUCCUGGGGCACCUUACUGGCGGACGCUUUCCUACUCCUCCUGCGCUUCAGUGGUUCUUCAUCCUCAUCAUCAUCAGGGAGAUUGAUAACAGUAUUGGGUGGAGCUACGGAGAAGAAUCAGGAUCAGAGAUCGCAAGUCAGUCGACUAAGAACGGCGUUAAGAAUACAGUACCUGGGUUCGAAGUCGCUGCGUCCUCCAUCUCGUGGUCAUCAGCCCGGGCUGAGGUUUCAGAAGUAGCAGCACUGCAACUCCAAAGGAUCAGUCGACUAACUUCAGCGUCGACCAGAGACAAAGUUCGCACAAAAUAAGAAGACUUAAGCAGCACGAUUACCCUGAUAUGGUGGGGAUGGACACCUUCAUCUUCGGCAGGAGCUUGGUCGGCUUCGACGAGGCCGCCCUGGGCUGCUUCGGCGCCUUUUCAGUCGGCACCGGAGAGGUGGUCCGAGGGCGCUUGGUCGACUGAACAACGGUCGCAACCCCCUUGCCACGUUCAGACGAAGGGUCGUGGACAAGCUUCGACCGCCUUUCUGAGCGCGGUGGUACGACCUCCUCCUCCUCUUCUUCCUCGUCCUCAACGUCAUCGUCAUCGCCGUCGUCAUCAUCAUCGUCGUCGUCAUCCCCUGCAAUGUCCGAGUCCCACUCCUCCUCUUCCUGGCUCUCGCCCCCGCUCGCCUCACCCUCCUCAGUCGGAGCUUGUGCCCCAUUGGGCAUCGAGUACAGCUCGGUGAGAGCCUGGCAGAUAUCAAGACAAGGAUCAGUCGACCAGUCGGCAGGAUAAACGGAGAUGAAUGCGACAAGAACACAGUGGAGAGCAGAGCAAGUGUACCUUGUUUGGAUCGCUGUUGUGGUCGAGUGGAGGAAUCCUUCUGGCUCCACGUGGGUUAUCCUUAUUUCCGGUAACGGCUACCAUCCAUCUUUCCAGAGUGACGUCGUCGACUGCUUCUGGAUGGACUCUAGUCUCGUCUUCAGUCCCACAGUACAACCACAUGCAGUGGCUCCGGAACUGAAGGGGCUGGAUGCGACGCCUGAGGAAGACCUCCAGGAGGUCCAUGCCCGUCACUCCCUCCCGAACCAACUGCACCACGCGCUCCAUCAACAUCUUCAUGUCAGCUUUCUCCUCCGGAAUCAACUUCAGAGAGGAGGGCUUGUUCACUCGGUCCAUGGUAAACUGUGGGAGUCCACUCGGCUGUCCCGGCGUCGACUGGUCCCGGCAGUAGAACCAGGUCGACUGCCAGCCUCUGAUUGACUCGGGAAAGGUCAUGGGUGGGAAGGUGCUCUUAUUCCUCACCUGGAUCCCCAGACCCCCACACAUUUGGACGACUCGGGUUCUCUCAUCACCUGGGCUCGCCUUCUUCACGGUCUAAGAGCGACACGUGAAUAUAUGCUUGAACAAACCCCAGUGCGGUCGACAGCCCAGGAAACCCUCACACAUGGACACGAACGCGGCAAGAUAGGCAAUAGAGUUUGGGGUAAAGUGGUGGAGCUGCGCUCCAAAGAAAUUCAAGAAGCCACGGAAGAAAACACUCGGCGGCAAGGAAAAUCCACGAUCAACAUGGGUGGCCAAGAGCACACACUCACCCUCUUCUGGCUGGGGCUGCCACUCCUUCCCCGGAAGCCUCGCAGCUCCAUGAGGGAUCAAGCCCUCGUUGGCCAUGUCGAGGAGGUCAUUCUCUGUGAUGGUCGACUGGAUCCAGUCCCCUUGUACCCAGCCCUUCGGCAGGCGGGAUCUGGACGAGGACCCGCCGCGGCUGGUGGAUCUCCCCUUUGCCUUCUCCGACGCCGACGCCUUCUUCGCACGUUCCAGCGCCGCCGUCUUCUCCUUGGCCAUGGUUGCCGGCGAGAUGCGCGAAGGGAAGUGGUGCGGGGGCGAGAGCGAGCACGCUGGGCGGGGAAGAAGGAAGCAGAGAGAGAGAGAAAAUGCUGAGGCACAGUACAGAAAUCCUCGCCGGGCGCAUUUAUAAGGUCCCUUCCGAGUGGGUGACAGGUGGGCCCGGUCGAUCUAAUCAUAUCUGGGAGCAGUUAUGCAGACGGGAUACAUGGCAAAAAAAGCGGCGCGGAGAUCGAGGCGUCUAUGUCCCGUCCCAUCCGAACGCUGCGGUCCGCUCCACUUUUCGCGUGUCCCCAAAUUUCGCAUCCCGCGGAAUCCGCAAACGGCAGAUCAGUCUGUCAGACGCGGGGUUUCCCGCGAUCCGUCGCUCGGGGAUCGUCGAAGCCCGAAAGAUCACUCGACGAAAGAAGAGAAUGAAUCGAGUCGACUGAAGACAAGUUGCUCACCAUCGACGAAGAGAUUCUUUGGUCCAGAACAAUGCACGACCAGAGCGCAAAGAUUAAUCGGAAACGACAUCAAAUCCUUCCUCACUCGAAGCCUCGAUCCAUUCGGGGGCUAAUGAUGGGGUCAUGUACCUAGGGUAGGGUCACGAACCUGAUCUAAGUACCUUACCCAAGGACACCCUUAGAAGAGGUCGCCUUCCAGUCGACCAACGAGGGACUCACUCGACUGACUUGAAGGACUCGACCACGAAGACUCACUCUACCACCAGGAGGUCAAGAGGCACUCCGCACUGCAACGGCCUGUAAUUAAGUAGGCUUUAUGAUAGUAAAGACACUUUAUGUGGGGUGUUACCAGUAACGCCCCGGACUUAACUCACCUUAAACCCUCUCCUACGUGGGCUGGCUGGGGUCCUGGCGCACUCUAUAUAAGCCACCCCCUCCACAGGCAGAGGGGUUCGGCAUCUUGUAACUCACAUACUCAUAAUCCACUCGACCGCCUUCGGGCUCCGAGACGUAGGGAUAUUACUUCUUCCGAGAAGGGCCUGAACUCAUACAUCCCUUGUGUUUACAACCUCUCCAUAGCUAGGACCUUGCCUCUCCAUACCUACCCCCCACUCUACUGUCAGGCUUAGAACCACGACAGCUUACAUAUUAGGCAUAAAGAUCUAUAGAGAUAGAUCAAGACGCUUAAUUGGACUUUCACAAAGCACAUACCUUGACAAGAUUUUGAAGAAGUUCAAAAUGGAUCAAGCAAAGAAAGGGUUCUUGCCUGUGUUACAAGGUGUGAAGUUGAGUCAGACUCAAUGCCCGACCACUGCAGAAGAUAGAGAGAAAAUGAAAGAUGUUCCCUAUGCUUCAGCCAUAGGCUCUAUCAUGUAUGCAAUGCUGUGUACCAGACCAGAUGUGUGCCUUGCUAUAAGUUUAGCAGGGAGGUACCAAAGUAAUCCAGGAGUGGAUCACUGGACAGCAGUCAAGAACAUCCUGAAAUACCUGAAAAGGACUAAGGAUAUGUUUCUCGUAUAUGGAGGUGACAAAGAGCUCAUUGUAAACGGUUACGCUGAUGCAAGAUUUGACACUGAUCCGGACGAUUCUAAAUCGCAAACCGGAUACGUGUUUACAUUAAACGGUGGAGCUGUCAGUUGGUGCAGUUCUAAACAAAGCGUUGUGGCGGGAUCUACAUGUGAAGUGGAGUACAUAGCUGCUUCGGAAGCAGCGAAAGAAGGAGUCUGGAUGAAGGAGUUCAUAUCCGAUCUAGGCGUCAUACCUAGUGCAUCGGGUCCAAUGAAAAUCUUUUGUGACAAUACUGGUGCAAUUGCUUUGGCAAAGGAAUCCAGAUUUCACAAGAGAACCAAGCACAUCAAGAGACGCUUCAAUUCCAUCCGGGAUCUAGUCUAGGUGGGAGACAUAGAGAUUUGCAAGAUACAUACGGAUCUGAAUGUUGCAGACCCGUUGACUAAGCCUCUUCCACGAGCAAAACAUGAUCAGCACCAAGGCUCCAUGGGUGUUAGAAUCAUUACAGUGUAAUCUAGAUUAUUGACUCUAGUGCAAGUGGGAUACUGAAGGAAAUAUGCCCUAGAGGCAAUAAUAAAGUUAUUAUUUAUUUCCUUACAUCAUGAUAAAUGUUUAUUAUUCAUGCUAGAAUUGUAUUAACCGGAAACAUAAUACAUGUGUGAAUACAUAGACAAACAGAGUGUCACUAGUAUGCCUCUACUUGACUAGCUCGUUAAUCAAAGAUGGUUAUGUUUCCUAACCAUGAACAAAGAGUUGUUAUUUGAUUAACGAGGUCACAUCAUUAGUUGAAUGAUCUGAUUGACAUGACCCAUUCCAUUAGCUUAGCACCCGAUCGUUUAGUAUGUUGUUGUUGCUUUCUUCAUGACUUAUACAUGUUCCUAUGAGUAUGAGAUUAUGCAACUCCCGUUUACCGGAGGAACACUUUGUGUGCUACCAAACGUCACAACGUAACUGGGUGAUUAUAAAGGUGCUCUACAGGUGUCUCCAAAGGUAGAUGUUGGGUUGGCGUAUUUCGAGAUUAGGAUUUGUCACUCCGAUUGUCGGAGAGGUAUCUCUGGGCCCUCUCGGUAAUGCACAUCACAUAAGCCUUGCAAGCAUUACAACUAAUGAGUUAGUUGAGAGAUGAUGUAUUACGGAACGAGUAAAGAGACUUGCCGGCAAUGAGAUUGAACUAGGUAUUGGAUACCGAUGAUCGAAUCUCGGGCAAGUAACAUACCGAUGACAAAGGGAACAACGUAUGUUAUUAUGCGGUCUGACCGAUAAAGAUCUUCGUAGAAUAUGUAGGAGCAAAUAUGGGCAUCCAGGUCCCGCUAUUGGUUAUUGACCGGAGACGUGUCUCGGUCAUGUCUACAUUGUUCUCGAACCGUAGGGUCCACACGCUUAACGUUACGAUGACAGUUAUUAUGAGUUUAUGCAUUUUGAUGUACCGAAGUUAGUUCGGAGUCCCGGAUGUGAUCACGGACAUGACGAGGAGUCUCGAAAUGGUCGAGACAUAAAGAUUGAUAUAUUGGAUGACUAUAUUCGGACACCGGAAGGGUUCCGGAGUAUUAUCGGAUAAAACCGGAGCACCGGGGGGGGGGGGGUUACCGGAACCCCCCGGGGGGUUAAUGGGCCUCAUGGGCCUAAUGUGGAGAAGAGGAAGGGGCUGCCAGGGCAGGCCGCGCGCCCCCUCUCCCCCUAGUCCGAAUUGGACAAGGAGGGAGGGGCGGCGCCCCCCCUUUCCUAUUCUCCCUCCACCUCUCCUAGUUGGACAAGGAAUAGGAGGGGAGUCCUACUCCCGGUAGGAGUAGGACUCCUCCUGCGCGCCUCCAUAGGGCCGGCCGCACCCCCCCUUGGAUCCUUUAUAUACGGAGGCAAGGGGGCACCCUAGGACACACAAGUUGAUCCACGUGAUUGUUCCUUAGCCGUGUGCGGUGCCCCCUUCCACCAUAUUCCACCUCGUUCAUAUCGUUGUAGUGCUUAGGCGAAGCCCUGCGUCGGUAGUACAUCAUCAUCGUCACCACGCCGUUGUGCUGACGGAACUCAUCCCCGAAGCUUUGCUGGAUCGGAGCCCGGGGAGCGUCAUCGAGCUGUACGUGUGCUAAGAACUCGGAGGUGCCGGAGUAACGGUGCUUGGAUCGGUCGGAUCGGGAAGACGUACGACUACUUCCUCUACGUUGUGUCAACGCUUCCGCUUCGGUCUACGAGGGUACGUAGACAACACUCUCCCCUCUCGUUGCUAUGCAUCACCAUGAUCUUGCGUGUGCGUAGGAAAAUUUUGAAAUUACUACGUUCCCCAACAUUAAUCCCCGAGGGUAUGGAGGGCGUGGAGCACCCAAACCCAUUCGCCUUUGAAGUGAUCCUGAGCGAUGCCAGUUCCAAAGACUCCAGAGGUGAGGAGGAGCUUGACGGCGUGGCCAACGAGGAGGCCCCGAAGGGGGAUGAAAUGGUGGAGCCUCCGCCAAUGGCGAAGAAAUGCGGGAAGGCUUUGGCGGCGGAGUAAUCGGCCCGGAAGGCAGCAAAUGGUGCCGCCUAGUCAAGAUCAUUGGUAUGGGUAGGUUAGUUGUCCGCUUGUAGAUGAUGUCAUAUGACGCCGACUCGUCCUUGGCCCGGCGUCCGAUCUUGACACCAUGGUAGUGCGGGGGCGACGCCGUCUCAUCCUUGACACGGUGUCCGAUCUGGACGCCGCGGUUGCGCUUGGGUGAUGCUGACUCAUCCUUGACUCGCUGGAGCGGGGACGAUGGCCGGAGUUGGUUUCUCGGGGUGCGGUGUCUGCAUUGAAGCGGCGACGCCCGAGAGGUCACGUUCGUCAGCUUCGCCCUCCCAUACGAUCAAAUUGGGGACAUCAAUGUCGCCCGCUGCAUGCCCUAGGUCAGCAUGAAUGCGGUGCUCGUGUUCGAUAAAAAGCACGAGAGAGCGGUGGUUUUUUUGGUGGGACAGGGCAGUCAGACAAGGGUGUGGCUGACCACAAAGCCCCCGCCCCCUGUUCUUAUUGUUUCUGCAAAGGGCGCCUACGGGCGCGCUAGUUGCGCUCCGCCCAUUUCCAUUUUUUUCUUCUAUUUUAAACGUUCAAAAAAAUAAUGCAACACCAGACUUCAAACUCGCGACCAGCUUCUUCGAAGAAAACGACGGUAACCCUAGGCCAUCGAAGGAUUAGUGCUUUCUAAGGUUUUUUUCCUUUAUUUUAUUUCUCUCUUCAAUCGCGAGAAUCCACCGGUAUUGGAAAGCUUACACAAGCUUUCCGAACCAGCUUUUUAUCGAUUCGCUGGUCAUUUCGGGGGUGGUUUUAUUCCAGUUUUAUUUUUAUUUAUUUUUUAAACAAAUCAUGUUUUAAAAAAACUAUGAAUGUUUUUCAAAUUCGAUGAAUUUUUUUUCAAAUUUGAUGAACUUUUAAAUUCAGAUGAUUUGGGCGGUCUUUGGCGCUGACUAGGAGCUCCUAGGGACCUUUGUGAAAAAAGAAGGGUCGACAAGAAAGAACGGGGAUAAUAUGGCCCAUCAGCCCAAUAUAACCCAAAAAAUAAAGUGUUAUUUUUCAUAAAUCCUUCUUGCACUUUAUUUUUUAGAGUAGACGUAGAAACUUUGAAGCUGGUAGUUUAGCAAAGCUUUCCUUACUAGAUCUUGGUAGACAUGUGUGGCUUGAUGUACCCCCACGAUUAUUGUUGAAUAAAGAGGAACUAGGUUUACUCAACGCGCGGAUUACCGAUCAAACAGGGCGUUGUAGGCGUCUCAUCCAGGAGCUGGCGCACACCGCGGCUUGGUAUGGGCCGACCCAGUUACACGAGUUGGGUGGUCGCCCGCUCGCUGUACGCUCGUUUUACGGUUGUCUGGUCAACGGUUCACUUCGCUAAAAAGAAAAGGUCAACGGUUCACCAUUUGAACCAAGAAAAACCAUGAUUUUAGUUCGCAAAAAUAAAAAAAAGUUAUGAAUUCAAAAUGUUCACAGAUUAUGAAAAGUUCAUCAAAUUUGAAAAAAUAAAUGUUUUGAAAAAGUUCACCGAGUUUCAAUAAAUCAUAGAAUUUGGAAAAAAAUCAUCAAUUUGAAAAAACUUUAUUGAAUUUGAAAAAAAUCAUCAAAUUUGGGAAAAAGUUCACCGAAUUUGAAAAUAAGUUCAUCAAUUUUGGAAAAAGUUCAUUGAAUUUGAAAAAAAUCGACUCUGGAAAAGGUUCAUUGAUUUUGAAAAAAGUGCACCGAAUUUGAAAAAAAGUUCAGCAAAUUUUUAAAAAAUCAUUGAUUUUUUUUGAAAAGUUCAUCACUUUGUCUGCAGAAAAAAAAAAC
rnacentral:lncRNA from 1 species